rnacentral:rRNA from 1 species
CAAUAGCGUAUAUUAAAGUUGUUGCAGUUAAAAAGCUCGUAGUUGGAUUUCUGGUUGAAGCGACCGGUCGGGCGUUGAUUCGUCUGCACUGGAGUCGGUUUUGGCCAUCCUCUAGGAAAGUGCGUCUGGUAUUAAGUUAUCGGGCGUAUGAUCCCGGUCUUUUACUGUGAAAAAAUUAGAGUGUUUAAAGCAGGCCUUCGCCUUGAAUACAUUAGCAUGGAAUAAUAAGAUAGGACUUUGGUCUAUUUUGUUGGUUUGCAGACCGAAGUAAUGAUUAAUAGGGAUAGUUGGGGGUAUUUAUAUUCCGAUGUCAGAGGUGAAAUUCUUAGAUUUUCGGAAGAUAAACUUAUGCGAAAGCAUUUACCAAGGAUGUUUUCAUUAA